UGCAGUUUCGCGCUGUCACACACGAGGGACCAUGAUGUAAUUUUUAUCAAUUUGAUACCCAUGUUUUCCUCCUUUAGCAAAUGUGGGCCAAAUGGUUAGUUACAAUUAAGUGACGCUGACAUAUUGUUCAUGUGGCGACGCAGGGCAGAUGUGAUAUUUGUGUGAGGCUCACAUGUCAGUAUCAUUUAAUGGUAAUUAGCAGUUUGGACCACAUUUGUUAAUGAAGGAAAACAAAAUGUAUCAAAUUGACAAAAAUUAAACUACUGUCCUUUAUGUGUACUCUUUCUAUGCCACAAAUGGAAGUAAUCUUUAAGUUUUGAUCAAAUACUAAAAUAUUAUUUCUAUCCAUAUUUACAGCUGCUUCUGGGUUCCAAUGUGACUAUGGCAGUGCAGGAUCCAUCAUUUCCA
rnacentral:misc_RNA from 1 species